UUGCAUGGCGUGACUUCUCAGGAGGACACCAGGUCGUGCCACAGCUGCCGCUAUCCCGACACUACUGGACUGGACUGCUGGUGUAUCUGUGAACUGUUUGUGAGCGGAUCGAGCUGCCACUGCUGACCUGUGAACUGAACUGCUGAUUUCCUGACAACGCAGAUGGGAUUUGUUCCAAAGAACCAUUUCUAAACAGGUCCACUUCCCCCGUAUCCUAAUAACCUUUCUUUUCCACUGCCUCUGGUGGGUGGUGGGCUAGAAGGGAGGUUAAAGCGUUUAAGAACCCAUAUUAAAAGGAGGAUUGAAAAUACUAAAGCCCGCACCUCCUCCCCAGAACCACUCUUCCCCACCUGGUGUUCCUCCUGGUCUCCCCCGCUGUCUCAAGCCGAGACUAAGGCCUGGCUGUCUCUGCUAGGUCAAGUCACUGCUACUGCUAACCCAACUCUACUGAACUGGACUGCUGGUGUAUCUGUGAAGUGUUUGCGAGGGGACCAAGCUGCUGCUGCCUGCUAACCUGUGAACUGAACUGCCGAUUUCCAGACAACAGAGACGGAAAGUUGCUCCAAAGAACCUUUCGAAACAGGUCCCCUUCCCCCUGCCUCCCACCGCCUGUAUCCUUUUCUUUCCACUACCUCUGGUGGGUGGUGGGCUACAAGGGAGGUUAAAGUGUUUACGAACUACAAAUAAGGUUUGAAAAAAUUAAAGUGUGCGUGUGUGUGUGUGUGUGUGUGUGUGUGUGUGUGUGUGUGUGAGAGAGAGAGAGAGAGAGAGAGAGAGAGAGAGAGAUCACAGUUCUGCAGCCCUGAUAAAAGGAUGAGUUUGUCCCUCCCCACUUCAUCUCUCUGGUGUGAUCUCUCAUCUCCACCUUCUGCCAUGGGUUGAUGCAGUAAGAGGACUCGCACCAGAAGCUGCCCCUUGACCUCAUACUUCCCCGUUCUUCUUAAAGGUUCCAUUAUCAGGCUAUCUGUUAGCACACACAGGACUAAGACAGCUGCCAGUCUCUAGCAUGAACCUGUGUUGGGAGGUCCCGAGUGCUGACUGUCCAGGCAACCUCUCAACGCUGCCUUCCUCCAUGACUCUGUCUUGCUCACUCCCUUCCUGCCACACCACUUGCUUUUCUCCUGCUUCUCUUUCAGCACUGGGCUUGCUGGGUCAAGUGCAUCCAGAAUAUUCUGAUCUCCUUUUCUCAUGGCAUUUGAGUAGUGCUGUGGAUAUUCCCACAGAAAGGCUCCAAGGGCUCCCUCACAGGGCAGAAGUUGGCUAAGAAAGGCUGGAUGCUGGGCAACCUCAGGUAAGAUCGCCAAACUUGCUAAGGCAGGCCUGUGUCUCACCUGCCCCCCACCCCCCUUUCCCGGCCCUCAGCCAGCACCUGGCUGGGUACCUAAGAGAAUGAACACCAGCUGUCUCUAACAGCGUAUCCAACCUCAGUUAUCCAUUAACCAAACAUUCUGAUCCAUUGGGCCCUCUGGUCAGUUGAGCUUGCACUGGAUUUAAAAAUUAUGUAAACGUUUUGCCUGAAUCUAAUUUGACUAAUAUUAAAAUCGUCGCUGCUCAAGUUGCAUACAAAUCCCAUACUGCCUUUUGAAGGCCCUAAGACGGUCACCUGUUUGCAGAAUGAUCUUCAGUAAGCUAAGUGUGCCCGGCAAGAGUACAGCAAAGCAAGCCCUGGUUGCCUUUAUGGCUCCUACUGUAGGUGAAAAGGAAGACUCCCUAAUCCAGAGAAAGGCACCCAAGGGUGCCCCUACUCUAAUGAUUCCAGCUGGGAUUGGUCUGCCCAUGCUUUCCUGGGACUAGAAUUCCAGACAGGCAAACAAGGUAGGGAGCCAGGCUCUGUUUUCAAGUAGAUCCCAGUCAAGUACUGCUUCUGAUCCUCACCUGCUGUGUGAGUUCUGCAGGUCUCUGAACUUCUCUGAGCCUCUACUGCCUUAUAAAAUGUCGGCUGCAAUACCUCCCUGCCAUGGAUGGUGUAGAGGUUAGGCCAAAUCACAUGCUUUCAGCAUGUAAAUGGCACACGGCAAACACAGGGGCACAGAGGGGCUCUCCCUUCCCGGGUGGCUGUGUUCAAGACUCCCCUGGGAAAGAUGACACAUACUCUCAGAGCACUGGUAAUAACAGACAGACAUUGUUACCAUAUUGCUCAAGGGAGGAAACCAAACAGCUGAGCCUAAAGUGUGGCAAAGCUUUUGCUCCUAAAAAAGGGCUGGGCAGCUGCUCUGUAAAGAAGUCCCUGGG
rnacentral:lncRNA from 1 species